rnacentral:ncRNA from 1 species
ACCUAGAGGGUUUCUGUCGAUCAAGGGCGAGAGUAGGAGUAUCCAACAGGAUUAGAGACCCUGGUAGUUCCUACCUUAAACGAUGCCGACAGGAGUUUGUCAUUUGUUAAUGGCAGAAUCUUUGGAGAAAUCAUAGUUCUUGGGCUCUGGGGGAACUACGACCGCAAGGCUGAAACUUGAAGGAAUUGACGGAAGGGCACACCAGGGGUGGAGCCUGUGGCUUAAUUUGAAUCAACACGGGGAAACUUACCAGGACCAGAUGUUUUUUAUGACUGACAGGCUUCGGGUCUUUCAGGAUAUUGUUUUUGGUGGUGCAUGGCCGUUGGUGGUGCGUGGGUUGACCUGUCUAGCGUUGAUUCAGCUAACGAGCGAGAUUAUCGCCAAUUAUUUACUUUGCCGAAGUCCUUCGGUUAAAGUUCUAAUUGGGACUCCCUGCGAUUUUAGCAGGUGGAAGAGGGUAGCAAUAACAGGUCCGUGAUGCCCUUUAGAUGCUCUGGGCUGCACGCGUGCUACAAUGUUAGGAUCAAUAGGACUGCGAGCCUGAGAGGGUGCGCUACUCUUAUAAUCCCUAACGUAGUUGGGAUUGACGUUUGUAAUCAGCGUCAUGAACCAGGAAUCCCUUGUAAAUGUGUGUCAACAACGCACGUUGAAUACGUCCCUGCCCUUUGUACACACCGCCCGUCGCUCCUACCGAUUGGAUGACUCGGUGAAAUCACCGGAUGCUUACGAGCAGAAAGUGAUUAAAUCACGUUAUCUAGAGGAAGGAGAAGUCGUAACAAGGUAACGGUAGGUGAACCUGCCGUUGGAUCAGUU